AAGAUCAGUUUACCCAUAAAUGAGUAGUUUAUUCACCCAUAUUUGGGUUUUAUAUGCAUUACUUAUAUUAUGAGUAAAAUAUACUAAUAAAAAGCGGUAAAAAAUACUCAUAUUGUUGGUAGAGUGAGUUUACUCAAAUAUGGGUAAACAUGAUUUACCCAUAUUUGGAUGAAAAUUGUCAGUCGCGAUCACUUUGGUGGAAGUAGCAGCAGCGGAACAGCGGCGACGCCCAGUUUGCUGAAACGCACGUAAAAGCUGCCGCCGAUCGGCAAUGAUUUUGAAAAAGCGUUCCGGCGGGGAUCAUCCGAGAGAUAUUAUCAACCAGGAACCAGGAAGUGGACAUCCGUCGUCAGGACGCCUGAAGCCGCAAUGAGAUUUUUUCCGCGAGGUUUUCCGUGCCCAGUACGAUGCCACCGUUGUCGACGUUCAGCCGGAAUCUAGGCCCGAAUAUUCUGAUCUCCGACGCUGUCCUGCUCAUGAAACAACGAUCGCAUCGAAUGCUACGAAGUGCAUGCACACCAGAUGGUCUGUCGUGCCCAAGGCAUCUCCCCCGGUGGCUUCGAUUCCACGGUACGAUGGCAUUCCGCCGCAGUGUGGUAUAUCGUGGGAUCUCCGCCACCACCCCGAGCACUACCUCAUCCGAUGUACGAGGAGGAUUGAUGACCCGAUUGACCACAGCUGUCGUAGAAGAUGCGAGCAAUUUAAUCGAAUCAUUUUUUUUUCAAUUGCUGUAUUAAAAUGUACUAGUGCAUUGAAGAUUAGAAUAAAAGCUUCUAGUUUCUUCUUUAUUUAAUUUCUCUGUGCUUUCUUUAAGUUUAUUGGAAUAAAUGAAUAUUAUUAAAUAUAAAAUAAUUAUAAAUUUUA